CCUAACCAAACGACGCCAUCUCCCAUCACCGCUGGUUCCAUCGACGGACCAGCGUACAAAAGCCAUCCUCGACGCCACCGCCAUCAUGUCUCUUCAGUCCCCUCACCCUCUCUACGAGAUUAUAGAGCCAUUAAUGCUCUGCAAACUAGCUUGUUCAACUUCCAAAGAGGGCAAAUGUGAGAAUCUUGUGAAUACAAGGAUGAUUCGAUGGAUAACAGCCUCAUCCCAUCUUCAGAGCUCGGUUUGCUAAGAAAAAUUUCGGAUUUUUGGCCCCAACAGCUCUUUCCUUUCACUUCACCUCUGAAAAAGUUCUCCGCAAAGACCACUUCGAGCGGAUUCGGAGACUCGACGACGACAAUAGCCUCAGUUCGCUGUCCCGGAGAAGGUCAGUAAUCACAUUCACUUUCCCUUUCAUUUCAGUUGUUAGAUAAAGUGUAAUUGUUUGAGUUUUUUUGCCUCUCAUUUGGUUUUCUGUUUUAAAAAAUGUAUUUUUGUAUCCGCAAUUUUCUUGUCUAAUUUUCUGUUUGAGGUGUGUCGAGCCUAAUUUUUGUUGUUCUUGUUCGAUGAAAUCAGUAUGUAGAAGUUAAAAAUGAAAUAAGGACACUUAGAAGGGCUAUCGAUUCCAUUUAAUGGAUGUAUGCCGCACCAUGUCGUUUGUCUAACUUUCUGUUGCUAGUAUUCAUUUUAACUCAUAUUUCGGAAAGGUGAUAAAAGAGCUGGCACAUAAGAAAUCCAGAGAGAUAAAACUUGAAUUUAUGAUCAUUUUGGGGCUGUUUGUUUUCCUUGAAAAUGUAUGGGAUAACAUAGUACUAUAUCUUUUCUUUGAGUUUUGUUGUACAAAUCGAACUGGCUCCUUGCCUAAAAAAUCCAAAACUGCUAAGGGAUGUAUUCGAGACUAAGUUACUAUUGCAUCUUUUCUUCUGAAACUAACAAAUGGGCAGGAUAGUAAAAUGGUCGUGCACUACUUAAGUUUGUGGAAAACUUAUCUUAAAUUGAUAUUGUGUUAUGUUAGAAGGUAGCAAUAAGGUUUUGGUGUGAAUUUGGAACAAUUUAUAUCAAACAUGUAAACACCUUCGUGUCUCAUUUCGUUUUGGUUUGCAGAGUUAAGAUAUAAUCGUUUGAGUAUUUUCGACGUUUUACACAAGUCUCUGCUAAGUGUAUGCACAAAUCGGUUAUUUUGCCUCUAUUUUUUAUGAGUCGGUUUAUAAAAGGCUAACAUAGACUAUGGGCUUGUUACGAUAAAUAAGUGAUUUGCUAGAAUAAAAAGAAGAAGAAAAUAGUUGUGUAUUAUUGAACUUGAGACUGUUUACUCUUUUUGAGAAUGCAUGAGAUAAAUUGAAGUAUAAAAUUGUCUUAAGUCAAACCCGGCUGUGACUUGGAUCUGCUCUUGAACUAUCUCCCCCAAAGUAGCUAAAAUGCUAGGAGUAUGUAUUUGUCGUCUUACUGUUUAAAAAAUGAGGAUGUUUGGUUAAGUUGUAAUGCUGGGAAUGCUCAAGAUUACUUAGCUCGCUAACUUAUAAAUGUUGAGAGUCUAGUAAUCAUGGCUGUACCUAUUUGUUUCUUGAGGUAUGAUAAGUAGUUUUCAACAAGGUUCCUCCCUAAGAGUUCGUUUGUGUGUUCUCUUUUCAAUUAAGUGAAGAUGAUGAGUUUAUUGAGUUGUUGUGCCUUGUAUUGAUCUUAAGAGUGCUUAAAUCAAGUUAGCUGACAUUUUUUUUCAUAAAUGCUGAGGAAUGGUUGUUUUACCUCUCGUAAUCUUCGAACUUGUUAAAACUUAUUUCAUGUGCUAGUUAUGCUUAAAAGGAGUUAGCUAGUAUGAAGCUGUACUACUCUCAUGUGGUUUGAUUAAGGUUUAGGCUUUAUGAAUUAUUGUUUGAUUGUGUAUCCUUAUUUGUGAACACUUUCAUAAGGGAUCUGAAAAGGUUUGAGGGUGAUUAAUUAGAACAUUGAAUUUGGUAGCUGUUUGUGUCAUAUUUUCAGAACAAAAGUUGAACUCUGUUUUCUCCUUCUUGUGUGAAAAGUGCAAAUGAACAGGUUACUCUACUUUUGCCAUAGCUUAAGUUGGUUUAACCAAUUUACUAAAGCAUGUAGUGUUACCUUCUUUACUGUCCCUUCCAGCUUUUGUGUUUCGUUUCAACUAUGACCUUCCGAAACGUUGCUUAUUAAAUUAUCGAGAUUAUGCUUCAUGAUCAGUUUGAGUCAAGAGUUAAUCUGCUAGUAAGCUCGUGAUGUGACUGGCUGUUUCACUCCUUUUGAUUUAAUCAUGAGGGUUGGUUCCAGUUGUUUUCUCAUGCUAGUGUGUACUAAAUUGCUGUUUAGAUUUGUGUGUAAGACUGGUGAAACUUUAAAACAUAAAAGAAGGCUUUGGAUGUGAUCAUGGUUUAAAUGUUUGUGAGCUAAAUUUUUUUGAGACCACAUACUAGAUUUUUUGACGUAGGAUAUCAUUCUUAUGAUUUAACUAGAUUCUGGAAAUAAUUAGUAUUUUUGUGUCUCAUUUUAAUUACAACGUAUAACAUUUGAUGUUAAUUAUUUCCAUCUAUGAUUAUUGGGAUUGUAACUCUAAUCCUUUUCUUUUCUUUCUUUUUACAUGAACACCAUGGGAGUUUGUUGGAGUUGUGGCUCAACUCUAAUUCUGCAGCAGCAGAUUUAUUUGCGCGUAUCUAACCGUCCCCCUAUUUCCACGUCUCGAGUCCCUUUCCUUCUUCCUUAUUCAAAAUUUCAAGCCUCCAUAUUGUUUGAUAUAUGCUAUUUAUAUUAUUUGACUAACACUCUUGUGAAAUUGUAAUUUUUGUAGUUUUGUUUUGAACGCGUAACUUGACUUAAGUAUAUCAGUAAGUUUAGUCAUUA